rnacentral:rRNA from 1 species
GAUAAACGCUGGCGGCGUGCAUGAGACAUGCAAGUCGAACGAAGGAUCGGGCUUGCUCGAUCCUUAGUGGCGGACGGCUGAGUAACGCGUAGGUGACCUACCCCGAAGUGGGGAAUAACUGCCCGAAAGGGCGGCUAAUACCGCAUGUGGUCGCACGUUCAUUCGUGCGAGUAAAGCCGCAAGGCGCUUCGGGAGGGGCCUGCGUCCGAUUAGCUCGUUGGUGGGGUAAUGGCUUACCAAGGCGACGAUCGGUAGGUGGUCUGAGAGGACGAUCACCCAGACUGGGACUGAGACACGGCCCAGACUCCUACGGGAGGCAGCAGUCGGGAAUUUUGCUCAAUGGGGGAGACCCUGAAGCAGCAACGCCGCGUGAGGGAUGAAGGCCUUCGGGUUGUAAACCUCUUUUGUCAGGGACGAUGAUGACGGUACCUGGCGAAUAAGCCACGGCUAACUACGUG